AUUGAACGCUGGCGGCAUGCUUUACACAUGCAAGUCGAACGGCAGCGCGGGCUUCGGCCUGGCGGCGAGUGGCGAACAGGUGAGUAAUACAUCGGAACGUGCCCAGUAGUGGGGGAUAGCUCGGCGAAAGCCGGAUUAAUACCGCAUACGACCUGAGGGUGAAAGCGGGGGAUCUUCGGACCUCGCGCUAUUGGAGCGGCCGAUGGCAGAUUAGCUAGUUGGUGGGGUAAAGGCCUACCAAGGCGACGAUCUGUAGCUGGUCUGAGAGGACGACCAGCCACACUGGGACUGAGACACGGCCCAGACUCCUACGGGAGGCAGCAGUGGGGAAUUUUGGACAAUGGGCGAAAGCCUGAUCCAGCAAUGCCGCGUGUGUGAUGAAGGCCUUCGGGUUGUAAAGCACUUUUGGCGGGAACGAAAAGGACUGUGCCAAUACCACGGUUCGAUGACGGUACCCGCAGAAUAAGCACCGGCUAACUACGUG
rnacentral:rRNA from 1 species